UAAAAAAAAAUUAUACAGAAUUUGGUGGAAAGUUACAUCCUCUUGCUUCCAGUCUUUCAUACCACCACAUAAAACAAACUUUUCCUAACAAUAGUCCUCAAACUCUGUAUCCUAAGACCCUGAGCCUGAAUAACAAUAAAGCCAUUAUAUAUUGUUGAUUAUGAUGCGUUACUUAGUUCUAAUUUUAAAUUGAUGUUACCUAAAAAACCAUUGAAAAAUUUGUGUUUCCUAUGGUUCCUGUUUAAGCGUUGAUCUUAAAAAUCCUAUAUAUUUAUUAUGAUUGUUUACUAUGUAUGUCCAAAUGAAAGUGGACAAAAAAGAUGUCUUGAACAAUGUGUAUUUUGAUGCGUUACUUAGUUCUAAUUUUAAUUUGAUGUUACCUAGAAAAUCGUUAAAAAAAAUUGUGUUUUCUAUGGUUCCUGUUUAAGCCUUGAUUUUAAAAAUCCUAUAUAUUUAUUAUGAUUGUUUACUAUCUAUGUCGAAAUGAAAGUGGAUAAAAAUGAUGUCUUGAACAAUGUGUAUUCCAAUUCCAGCAUAUUUAAAAAAAUAUUUCCGUUGUGUACUAUAAUGAAAAAAUGUAUUAAAUAUCCAAAGAGUAAUACUGUAAAAAAAUGAGCGGCUUGUAGAAAUACAAUUAAUUUAUUUGUAUUAUAUGGUCACAGGUCGUAAAAACCUGUUGUAAUGGAAAAAUUCGAAGAUCAAGAUAGACUUGGGUGAAGAACAAUGCUUUGAAAUUUAAGAAAAAAUGUGUACUAUAUGAGAAACAGUAAUAGUCUCGAAGACUGUUUAAUAGAAGAAGAAAAAGAUUUGUGUAAAACUGACGAAAAAAAGUUGUGCGAAGAUGUAUCGAAAGAGAUAUGGUGAGAAGGCGAAACCCAGAUGUAAGCUAAAUGUAAAGCCUGCAACGAGCGUAUGCGCCCCCAAAUUUAUUGCAAAUAAUUCAAGGUUGAAAAAAUGGCUUAUUACAAUGUUACAACUCUUGCCUCUAGUCAGUACAAUCUACCAUAUCAUAACAUCAGCUGUCAAAAAUAACUAUCUUGAUCUGAAUGACACUAACUCCAUCAUAUAUUAUUAAUUUUGUUAUGUUACUAAUUUUAAGAUUGUUUACUAUGUAUGUGUAAUGAAUGUGUUAUGAAAAUCUAAACGACUGUAAAUGAAAUAUUAAUAUUUACCGCAACUUUACUGAUGCGUUCCAUAUUAUUGUCUAUUUAAUUUGACGUAUAUAGCCUUUCAAGUACUUAUAAUAAUUUAGUGAUUAUCCAGAAUCAAAACUUACAACGUAAAUCCUUCUCAAACUAUUUAAAAUAUAAAAACUUGAAACAACCAAUUGUGUAAAUUUAAAACAAGUUUUUAUUAUGAAAAUAAUUGUGAAUUCCAAUAAUAAAACGUGCUCUCUGAAGUAAAAUAAGAUGAAGAAA